rnacentral:rRNA from 1 species
UACGUAGGGUGCAAGCGUUGUCCGGAAUUAUUGGGCGUAAAGAGCUCGUAGGCGGUUUGUCGCGUCGAAUGUGAAAACCCGGGGCUCAACUCCGGGCCUGCAUUCGAUACGGGCAGACUAGAGUUCGGUAGGGGAGACUGGAAUUCCUGGUGUAGCGGUGAAAUGCGCAGAUAUCAGGAGGAACAGCCAAUUGCGAAGGCAGC